UGCCUAGUGGACAUGGCAUCUGCCCGGUAAGCGGAACACUGUGGGUUCGAUUCCCAUCCCUGGACAC